UACGUAGGGGGCAAGCGUUGUCCGGAAUUACUGGGCGUAAAGCGUGCGCAGGCGGUUAUGUAAGACAGAGGUGAAAUCCCCGGGCUCAACCUGGGAACUGCCUUUGUGACUGCAUGACUAGAGUACGGCAGAGGGGGAUGGAAUUCCGCGUGUAGCAGUGAAAUGCGUAGAUAUGCGGAGGAACACCGAUGGCGAAGGCAAUCCCCUGGGCCUGUACUGACGAUCAUGCACGAAAGCGUGGGGAGCAAACAGG
rnacentral:rRNA from 1 species